CACAGACGGCAGCUGCGGCCUAGCCCCCAGGCUUCACUUGGCGUGGACAACUUGCUAAGUAAAGUGGGGGGUGGGCCACGGCUGGCUCCUACCUGGACAGGCCUCCAGCUAAC